rnacentral:rRNA from 1 species
CGAAAGCCUGACGGAGCAAGACCGCGUGAGGGAGGAAGGCUCUUGGGUUGUAAACCUCUUUUCUCAGGGAAGAAGCUCUGACGGUACCUGAGGAAUCAGCCUCGGCUAACUCCGUGCCAGCAGCCGCGGUAAUACGGAGGAGGCAAGCGUUAUCCGGAAUUAUUGGGCGUAAAGCGUCCGCAGGUGGCGAUUCAAGUCUGCUGUCAAAGCACGGGGCUUAACUCCGUUAAGGCAGUGGAAACUGAAUGGCUAGAGUGCCGUAGGGGUAGAGGGAAUUCCCAGUGUAGCGGUGAAAUGCGUAGAGAUUGGGAAGAACACCGGUGGCGAAAGCGCUCUACUGGGUUGCACCUGACCCCCAGGGACGAAAGCUAAGGUAGCG